UACGUAGGGUCCGAGCGUUGUCCGGAAUUACUGGGCGUAAAGAGCUCGUAGGUGGUUUGUCGCGUUGUUCGUGAAAUGCCACAGCUUAACUGUGGGCGUGCGGGCGAUACGGGCAGACUGGAGUACUGCAGGGGAGACUGGAAUUCCUGGUGUAGCGGUGGAAUGCGCAGAUAUCAGGAGGAACACCGGUGGCGAAGGCGGGUCUCUGGGCAGUGAACUGACGCUGGAGGAGCGAAAGCGUGGGGAGCGAACAGG
rnacentral:rRNA from 1 species